rnacentral:lncRNA from 1 species
AAUCGGGCGGGUCGUGGUUGGGGAGGUGUGGUCUUCCCCACUCCAACAUGCCUGCAACUUGCAUAUUGUUUUGUGUUUUUGGAGCAUCCACGCGCCACUUCCUUUACUAAACUGAGAUUGGACUGGGCAGCAUGCACCCCCCUGGGGCUCGCGCGCCAUCACGCAUCUUCCUGCCUGUCCCACGACGUGUGUACUUUACACCGCGACUCGACGUCUGGCAAUAAAAUAGUCUGAUUUCUAAUUCAUCACCGUGCUGUCCGACAACAGUUGGUGGUGUGGGGGGUGGCUGGGGAAGACAUGGCAGCUGUGCGUAUGAUGACUCGGCGGCUCCUUGCACGCUCGGCAUGCAUGCUAUCAGGUGGCCUUCCCCGAGGGAGUACGGGAGGACACCAUAAUAGGCUUUUGUCUUAUGUGUACUUUUUUGCAGGGGUUACAUCGUGAAGGUAGAGGAGGCGGUUAAGUGUUUAGGUUGGACUGUCCCUAGCCGGGCACGUGCACGGCGCAGCACACAGACUUGACGCAGACAAGACAUGCAUGCAUACCGUAUGUAUGGCGCCCAUAGGGCCGCUGGCAGGGUGAAAC